rnacentral:lncRNA from 1 species
AAGACUGAUACUUCAGGGGCAAGAACAAGCAAAGCAAGUCAGAUGGAAUGGGUUACAAAGAAAUCAAAAGCAGGCAGGGCUCAAGCGAAUAGACAAGAAGUCAAGGCCAAAACAGGUAGCACAGAGGUGAGUAAAGUCUUGGAAGCAAAAAUAGGAAACAAAUUUAGUCCCUUAGAAGUUAUUCCAGAGACAGAGGAGAUUGAGGUGAACCAAGACCAGGCAGAGCUAGAACCAGGGGCAGAGGACUAGGCUGAUCCAGAACCAGAGGUUGAGGUCCAGAUCCAAGCUGAAGGGCCAAGCACAGUACAAGCUCCAAACAGGACUAUAGGGACAAGCACUGAGCAACCCCCAAAAAAGCGGGUGGGGGAAGCUAUAUAUCUCCAGCAGGCCAACCAAUUUGCUAGUGCAUAGUUAAGAAACAAGUUGCAGCACACAAAAGGAAGUUCAGCAGCAGUAGCUCCUAAAAAAGUUCCAACUCAAAUAGUAAAGAGGCAACUUAUUAUUAAGCCUCCAAAAAAAGCCCCCAAUUCAGUUCUUACCCCUCCCAUUGCUAAGGAGGAGGAUGGAAAGAAAAAAGGGUCAAAAAGAAUCAGGAGAAGAAGGGGAAGUCAACAACUUUUGUUGACUUUUGUGCAGAAAUGGAGGGUGACUCCCCCAUACCAAACAAGCAAUGAUCAUUUCCUUCUAGAAUAUAAGAGGCUUGAACAAACCUCUCAAACAGAAUGGAAUUUUGAAACAUAUGAGGAAGAAUAAAGUGUGCAUCAUGGGAGUCCUGGAAACUAAACUCUCUCAGCACUAUCUUGAUGGAAUUUCUAGGAAGAAAUUCAAAUCCUGGAAAGCAGACAAUAACUUUCAACAUCACCCAAAUGGAAGGAUUUUGAUUUUUUGGAAGGACGACAAAGUCAGCCUAGAGAUCAUCAAGAAGUCAGACCAGGUGAUUUACUGCCUGGUCACUUGUAAAACUUCUUCAAUUAAAUUUCAUUUAAGCUUUGUUUAUGCUUUCAAUACUGUUGUGGGUCGAAGACCCCUUUGGGAUAGCCUUCGCAGGUUUAGCUCCUCUAUUAAAGUGCCUUGGAUGCUGUUGGGUGACUUUAACAAUGUUCUCAGCAAUGAUGAGAAAGCUAAUGGGCUCCCAGUUACCUCUUAUGAGACAAGGGAUUUUAGGAAUUGUUGUUAUGAUACAGGUAUUUCUGAUAUGAGAUCCUCAGGAGUCUUUCUCACAUGGUCCAAUAACUCUAUCUAGAGUAAACUUGAUAGAGCUAUAGUCAACAAAAAGUGGGUUCAUGAAGGCUUUACAGACCAAGCAAGUUUUGAUUUCCCUGGAAAGUACUCAGACCAUUCCCCAUGCACUGUCACCCUUUUUGAAGUGAAUGAGCGAGGAGUCUCCCCAUUUAAAUUCUUCAACAUGUGGGCUAAUCAUGAUAAGUUUCUGGAGAUAGUCAGCAAUUCUUGGGGAAUGCAGCUGAGAGGAACAACCAUGUAUAAGCUGUGCAGCAAGCUUAAAUCUGCUAAAGAUCCUCUGAGGGACUUAAACAAGAAGCACUUCUGCCAUAUAGCAGCCAGAACAGAGGCUACAGAAGAGGAUCUCAUUCAGGCUCAGCAGCAAUUGCAUGACAGCCGAAGGGACUAUAAUCUUCAAAUCAAAGUCCCGAAGCUGAGAGCUAAAGUCCUUAAGUUAGCAGAAGUAGAGCUAAGUUUUUGCACCCAGCUAACAAAAGCCAAGUUUUUUAAGAACGCUGAUAAAGGUACAAAUUUUUUUCAUGACUUGAUCAAAAGCAACAGAUCCAAAAGCCAUAUUACCUCUAUUUUGUUGGAAGAUGGGAGCAGAACUACUUCGAGCAACCAAGUGAGUGAGGCCUUUGUUCAGUAUUAUAAAGGGCUCCUGGGAUCCAAAGAAAAUUGCUCCAGUCUUAACAGAGAAAUAGUCUUAAAGGGCAAGCUUUUGGGGGUAGAGCAAGCUGAUAGUCUGUUAAGGAAGGUUACUGACGAGGAAAUAAAAUCUGCCCUAUUUGAUAUUGGAGAAGAAAAAGGCCCAGGGGCCAGAUGGUUAUACCUCAUGCUUCUAUAAAUAAGCUUGGGAUGUUAUUGGGAGGGACUUUAUGGAAGCAGUGAAAGAAUUCUUCUCCUCGGGGCAUAUUCUUAAGCAGAUUAACCGUUCUGUUCUGGCCUUAAUCCCAAAAACCAAGGAUGCAAACAGGGUAGAAGACUUCAGACCUAUUGCAUGUUGCAAUGUUCUUUAUAAACUUAUCUCUAGAAUUAUUGCUUCAAGAUUGGCCCCAACUCUGAGCAGUAUUGUUGAUCCAGCGCAAUCUGCUUUUAUUCAAAAUAGAAGCAUGAUUGAUAAUAUUUUCUUGCUGCAAGAGCUUCUUAGGCAAUAUGGGAGGAAAAGAGCUUCUCCAAGAUGCAUUCUAAAUGUGGACCUGAGAAAGGCGUUUGAUUCCAUUGACUGGGUCUUUCUUCAAGAAUUGCUUUCAGCCUUACAUUUCCCUCCCAAAUUUGU